UUUUUCAACUAUCUGCAGCUCUGAAAACAGUAAGCAAUGCGAGGAAGAGAUUAAUGAUGUCCAAAUACAAAGAUACAGCAGCCCAUAUGUACUCAUCAUAAGAAUAUCGCUUGAUCAAGUUGUCGGUGUCAUAUAUGAUAUAGCCGCAGAAGAUGAUGGAGGCCAAACACCCGUAUAUCAUCACCGAGAUUCUACCCAGUGGGAACAGUAUCUGAAACCCAAAUUAACGCAUUUAGCAAUGAUAUGGAAUAAAGAUAUGUAUAUAUACAGUGUAAAAACAUAUAUGAACAAACAAGGCGAAGAUUGGAGCAUACCUGGAUCAGAGCGAAAACCAUAAGAACAAGGACAGCACCGAACAGGAAAGGGCCGAGGAAGUUGAAAUCAUGACCUCUCUUUGCAGCCCAGAAGGUGUAAAGGGUUAGAGCCACCACCACGACGGUCGUCAAAAUCACCGACUCCAAA
rnacentral:lncRNA from 1 species